rnacentral:rRNA from 1 species
CCCUUAGAUGUUCUGGGCCGCACGCGCGCUACACUGAUGCAUUCAACGAGCCUAUCCUUGACCGACAGGUCCGGGUAAUCUUUGAAUCUGCAUCGUGACGGGGAUAGAUUAUUGCAAUUAUUAAUCUUCAACGAGGAAUGCCUAGUAGGCGCAAGUCAUCAGCUUGCGUCGAUUACGUCCCUGCCCUUUGUACACACCGCCCGUCGCUCCUACCGAUUGAGUGGUCCGGUGAGGCUUUGGGAUCUGAGCGGAAAGAGCGUUUCGCUCGUUCUGCCCGGAAAACUCAGUCGAACCUUAUCAUUUAGAGGAAGGAGAAGUCGUAACA